AAUAUAUCGGAACGUGCCCAGUCGUGGGGGAUAACGUAGAGAAAUUUACGCUAAUACCGCAUACGAUCUAAGGAUGAAAGCGGGGGACCGUAAGGCCUCGCGCGAUUGGAGCGGCUGAUAUCAGAUUAGGUUGUUGGUGAGGUAAAAGCUCACCAAGCCGACGAUCUGUAGCUGGUUUGAGAGAACGACCAGCCACACUGGGACUGAGACACGGCCCAGACUCCUACGGGAGGCAGCAGUGGGGAAUUUUGGACAAUGGGCGAAAGCCUGAUCCAGCAAUGCCGCGUGCAGGAAGAAGGCCUUCGGGUUGUAAACUGCUUUUGUACGGAACGAAACGGCUCUUUCUAAUAAAGAGGGCUAAUGACGGUACCGUAAGAAUAAGCACCGGCUAACUACGUGCCAGCAGCCGCGGUAAUACGUAGGGUGCAAGCGUUAAUCGGAAUUACUGGGCGUAAAGCGUGCGCAGGCGGUUUUGUAAGACAGAGGUGAAAUCCCCGGGCUCAACCUGGGAACUGCCUUUGUGACUGCAAGGCUGGAGUGCGGCAGAGGGGGAUGGAAUUCCGCGUGUAGCAGUGAAAUGCGUAGAUAUGCGGAGG
rnacentral:rRNA from 1 species